CACUCCUGGCAGUGGGCAAAGAAACACCUUGUUAGUGGAGUUAUUCUUGCAUUAGUCAGGGGCAGAGCGGAUGGCAGUCCAUUGUUCAUCCUAGCCUGAUGCCUGGCUUGGUGGCCAAAGCUGUCUAUGCCUAGGAUUCAUAA